AAAUGAACACGGGAUAAAAUCAUAGCCACAAAGAAGAAGAGAGAAAAGAGAAGAAAAAGAAAUAAAAAAUAUAAUGGCAUCUUCCUUCUCAUUUUCUCUAGAUUUCAACCUAGCUCUCCCCAUACAGUCAUGGGGGCAAGGAGCUGCACCUGUUUGAAUGCCCUACUUUACUUCUUCACUAGGUCCAGUGACAGUUAACGACUCGUUACUCCUUGACAACGACAUUGCUAUUGGAGUUGCGAGGAGUUUGGUGAUUCCCAAGGAUGUGCCCG
rnacentral:lncRNA from 1 species